AACCGAUGCUUAGCAUCCGCAGCGGAGGAAAAUAAAACUUCAGCUGUAAAGUAACAAGCAAGCAAGGUAGAGAAGGUGGAGAAAGCUGAGGCUCCUUCAUACACAACUUCUUCUAAUCUACUUCUCAUCUCCCCACCCCCUCCUCAACUUUCCCUUGGCCAAACGGGACACCAAAGGCUGAAGACGGCUGCAGAAUUACAUUUCGAUUUACACUGUCCGGCUACGAAUAUACACAAAAGCUGUAAGAAAGAGGACAUGAUUUUUGAGGCUUACUGUGUGUGAGGCCUCGAUGGACAUAAGUUUGAGCAAGCUCUGGGAGUUGGUGAUGAACAGGGAAGCCUGGCAUGCUGCAGUCCAUGGGGUUGCAAAGAGUUGGACACAACUGAGCGACUGAACUGAAUUGAACUGUGUGUGAGACCUGGAUCAGUCUUCUAAGCA
rnacentral:lncRNA from 1 species